rnacentral:rRNA from 1 species
AGUGAACGCUGGCGGUAGGCCUAACACAUGCAAGUCGAACGGCAGCACAGUAAGAGCUUGCUCUUACGGGUGGCGAGUGGCGGACGGGUGAGGAAUACAUCGGAAUCUACUUUUUCGUGGGGGAUAACGUAGGGAAACUUACGCUAAUACCUCAUACUACCUACGGGUGAAAUCAGGGGAUCUUCGGACCUUGCGCGAUUGAAUGAGCCGAUGUCGGAUUAGCUAGUUGGCGGGGUAAAGGCCCACCAAGGCGACGAUCCGUAGCUGGUCUGAGAGGAUGAUCAGCCACACUGGAACUGAGACACGGUCCAGACUCCUACGGGAGGCAGCAGUGGGGAAUAUUGGACAAUGGGCGCAAGCCUGAUCCAGCCAUACCGCGUGGGUGAAGAAGGCCUUCGGGUUGUAAAGCCCUUUUGUUGGGAAAGAAAAGCAGCAGGUUAAUACCCCGCUGUUCUGACGGUACCCAAAGAAUAAGCACCGGCUAACUUCGUG